rnacentral:misc_RNA from 1 species
GAUGAAGAACGUAGCGAAAUGCGAUAAGUAGUGUGAAUUGCAGAAUUCAGUGAAUCAUCGAAUCUUUGAACGCACAUUGCGCCCCUUGGUAUUCCAUGGGGCAUGCCUGUUCGAGCGUCAUUUGUACCUUCAAGCUCUGCUUGGUGUUGGGUGUUUGUCUCGCCUCUGCGUGUAGACUCGCCUUAAAACAAUUGGCAGCCGGCGUAUUGAUUUCGGAGCGCAGUACAUCUCGCGCUUUGCACUCAUAACGACGACGUCCAAAAGUACAUUUUUACACUCUCGACCUCGGAUCAGGUAGGGAUACCCGCUGAACUUAAGCAUAUCAAUAAGCGGAGGA